rnacentral:rRNA from 1 species
UGGGGAAUAUUGCACAAUGGGCGAAAGCCUGAUGCAGCAACGCCGCGUGCGGGAUGACGGCCUUCGGGCUGUAAACCGCUUUCGGCAGGGACGAAGGUUUUCUGACGGUACCUGCAGAAGAAGCACCGGCUAACUACGUGCCAGCAGCCGCGGUGAUACGUAGGGUGCGAGCGUUGUCCGGAAUUAUUGGGCGUAAAGAGCUUGUAGGCGGUCCGUUGCGUCGGAAGUGAAAACUCAGGGCUUAACCCUGAGCCUGCUUUCGAUACGGGCGGACUUGAGGGAUGUAGGGGAGAACGGAAUUCCUGGUGGAGCGGUGGAAUGCGCAGAUAUCAGGAGGAACACCAGUGGCGAAGGCGGUUCUCUGGACAUUUCCUGACGCUGAGAAGCGAAAGCGUGGGGAGCAAACAGGCUUAGAUACCCUGGUAGUCCACGCCGUAAACGGUGGGCACUAGGUGUGGGACCCAUUCCACGGGUUCCGUGCCGUAGCUAACGCAUUAAGUGCCCCGCCUGGGGAGUACGGCCGCAAGGCUAAAACUCAAAGGAAUUGA